rnacentral:rRNA from 1 species
AUCAGUAGCUGGUCUGAGAGGAUGAUCAGCCACAUUGGGACUGAGACACGGCCCAAACUCCUACGGGAGGCAGCAGUGGGGAAUCUUGCGCAAUGGGCGAAAGCCUGACGCAGCCAUGCCGCGUGAAUGAUGAAGGUCUUAGGAUUGUAAAAUUCUUUCACCGGGGACGAUAAUGACGGUACCCGGAGAAGAAGCCCCGGCUAACUUCGUGCCAGCAGCCGCGGUAAUACGAAGGGGGCUAGCGUUGCUCGGAAUUACUGGGCGUAAAGGGAGCGUAGGCGGACAUUUAAGUCAGGGGUGAAAUCCCGGGGCUCAACCUCGGAAUUGCCUUUGAUACUGGGUGUCUUGAGUAUGAGAGAGGUGUGUGGAACUCCGAGUGUAGAGGUGAAAUUCGUAGAUAUUCGGAAGAACACCAGUGGCGAAGGCGACACACUGGCUCAUUACUGACGCUGAGGCUCGAAAGCGUGGGGAGCAAA